rnacentral:rRNA from 1 species
GGAGGAAAAGAAACUAACAAGGAUUCCCCUAGUAACUGCGAGUGAAGCGGGAAAAGCUCAAAUUUAAAAUCUGGUGGUCUUUGGCCAUCCGAGUUGUAAUCUAGAGAAGUGUUACCCGCGUCGGACCGUGUACAAGUCUCCUGGAAUGGAGCGUCAUAGAGGGUGAGAAUCCCGUCUUUGACACGGACUACCGAGGCUUUGUGGUGCGCUCUCAACGAGUCGAGUUGUUUGGGAAUGCAGCUCAAAAUGGGUGGUAAAUUCCAUCUAAAGCUAAAUAUUGGCGAGAGACCGAUAGCGAACAAGUACCGUGAGGGAAAGAUGAAAAGAACUUUGGAAAGAGAGUUAAACAGUACGUGAAAUUGCUAAAAGGGAAACGCUUGAAGUCAGUCGCGUUGGCCGGAAAUCAGCCUUGCUUUUGCUGGGUGUACUUUCUGGUUGACGGGCCAGCAUCAGUUUUGACCGGUGGAAAAAGUUCGAGGGAAUGUGGCAUCUUCGGAUGUGUUAUAGCCCUUGGUCGUAUACAUCGGUUGGGACUGAGGAACUCAGCACGCCGAAAGGCCGGGUCUUUGACCACGUUCGUGCUUAGGAUGCUGGCAUAAUGGCUUUAAUCGACCCGUCUUGAAACACGGACCAAGGAGUCUAACAUGCCUGCGAGUGUUUGGGUGGAAAACCCGGACGCGUAAUGAAAGUGAAAGUCGAGAUCCCUGUCAUGGGGAGCAUCGACGCCCGGACCAGANGUUUUCUGACGGCCCUGCGGUAGAGCAUGUAUGUUGGGACCCGAAAGAUGGUGAACUAUGCCUGAAUAGGGUGAAGCCAGAGGAAACUCUGGUGGAGGCUCGUAGCGAUUCUGACGUGCAAAUCGAUCGUCAAAUUUGGGUAUAGGGGCGAAAGACUAAUCGAACCAUCUAGUA